GAUGAAGAACGCAGCGAAAUGCGAUAAGUAAUGUGAAUUGCAGAAUUCAGUGAAUCAUCGAAUCAUUGAACGCACAUUGCGCCCCCUGGUAUUCCGGGGGGCAUGCCUGUCCGAGCGUCAUUACAACCCUCAAGCUCAGCUUGGUGUUGGGCCCCGCCGCCCCGGCGGGCCCUAAAGUCAGUGGCGGUGCCGUCCGGCUCCGAGCGUAGUAAUUCUUCUCGCUCUGGAGGUCCGGUCGUGUGCUCGCCAGCAACCCCCAAUUUUUUUCAGGUUGACCUCGGAUCAGGUAGGGAUACCCGCUGAACUUAAGCAUAUCAAUAAGCGGAGGA
rnacentral:misc_RNA from 1 species